rnacentral:rRNA from 1 species
UACGUAGGGUGCGAGCGUUGUCCGGAAUUACUGGGCGUAAAGAGCUCGUAGGUGGUUUGUCGCGUUGUUCGUGAAAACUCACAGCUCAACUGUGGGCGUGCGGGCGAUACGGGCAGACUGGAGUACUGCAGGGGAGACUGGAAGUUCCGUGGUGUAGCGGUGGAAUGCGCAGAUAUCAGGAGGAACACCGGUGGCGAAGGCGGGGUCUCUGG